GACGAACGCUGGCGGCGUGCUUAACACAUGCAAGUCGAGCGAUGAAAGCCUUAUGAACUAUUCGUAGUGAUUGGGGCCGGAUUAGCGGCGGACGGGUGAGUAACGCGUGAACAACCUGCCUUAAACAACGGGAUAGCCUCGGGAAACCGGGAUUAAUACCGUAUGAGACCCCGCCUUCACAUGAAGAAGAGGUUAAAGAUUUAUCGGUUUAAGAUGGGCUCGCGUCUGAUUAGCUAGUUGGUGAGAUAAAAGCCCACCAAGGCAACGAUCAGUAACCGGCUUGAGAGAGUGAACGGUCACAUUGGAACUGAGACACGGUCCAAACUCCUACGGGAGGCAGCAGUGGGGAAUAUUGCACAAUGGGGGAAACCCUGAUGCAGCGACGCCGCGUGAGCGAUGAAGGAAUUCGUUUCGUAAAGCUCUGUCCAAGGGGAAGAUAAUGACAGUACCCUUGGAGGAAGCCCCGGCUAAAUACGUGCCAGCCGCCGCGGUAA
rnacentral:rRNA from 1 species